UCUCCAGUGUGUGUUCUCUUAUGAACCACCAAUUCCCUUGGUCGUAAAAAUCUGUUGUUGCAAACAUCGCAUUCAUAAGGUUUGUCUCCAGUGUGUGUUCUCUUAUGAUCUGCUAAGUGGUUUGAGUAUGAAAAUCGUUUGUUGCAAACAUCACAUUCAUAAGGUUUAUCUCCAGUGUGUGUUCUCUUAUGAUCUGCUAAGUGGUUUGAGUAUGAAAAUCUUUUGUUGCAAACAUCACAUUCAUAAGGUUUGUCUCCAGUGUGUGUUCUCUUAUGACCUGCUAAGUGACUUGAUUGUGAAAAUCUUUUGUUGCAAACAUCACAUUCAUAAGGUUUGUCUCCAGUGUGUGUUCUCUUAUGACCUGCUAAAUGGCUUGAGCGUGAAAAUCUUUUGUUGCAAACAUCACAUUCAUAAGGUUUCUCUCCAGUGUGUGUUCUCUUAUGUUUUAGCAAAGAGCUUCUGUGUGAAAAUACCUUGUUACAAACAUCACAUUUCCUAGACAUGGU